rnacentral:rRNA from 1 species
AUGAACGCUAGCUACAGGCUUAACACAUGCAAGUCGAGGGGCAGCAUGAACUUAGCUUGCUAAGUUUGAUGGCGACCGGCGCACGGGUGAGUAACACGUAUCCAACCUGCCGAUGACUCGGGGAUAGCCUUUCGAAAGAAAGAUUAAUACCCGAUGGCAUAGUUCUUCCGCAUGGUAGAACUAUUAAAGAAUUUCGGUCAUCGAUGGGGAUGCGUUCCAUUAGGUUGUUGGCGGGGUAACGGCCCACCAAGCCUUCGAUGGAUAGGGGUUCUGAGAGGAAGGUCCCCCACAUUGGAACUGAGACACGGUCCAAACUCCUACGGGAGGCAGCAGUGAGGAAUAUUGGUCAAUGGACGAGAGUCUGAACCAGCCAAGUAGCGUGAAGGAUGACUGCCCUAUGGGUUGUAAACUUCUUUUAUACGGGAAUAAAGUGAGGCACGUGUGCCUUUUUGUAUGUACCGUAUGAAUAAGGAUCGGCUAACUCCGUGCCAGCAGCCGCGGUAAUACGGAGGAUCCGAGCGUUAUCCGGAUUUAUUGGGUUUAAAGGGAGCGUAGGCGGACGCUUAAGUCAGUUGUGAAAGUUUGCGGCUCAACCGUAAAAUUGCAGUUGAUACUGGGUGUCUUGAGUACAGUAGAGGCAGGCGGAAUUCGUGGUGUAGCGGUGAAAUGCUUAGAUAUCACGAAGAACUCCGAUUGCGAAGGCAGCUUGCUGGACUGUAACUGACGCUGAUGCUCGAAAGUGUGGGUAUCAAACAGGAUUAGAUACCCUGGUAGUCCACACAGUAAACGAUGAAUACUCGCUGUUUGCGAUAUACAGUAAGCGGCCAAGCGAAAGCGUUAAGUAUUCCACCUGGGGAGUACGCCGGCAACGGUGAAACUCAAAGGAAUUGACGGGGGCCCGCACAAGCGGUGGAGUAUGUGGUUUAAUUCGAUGCAACGCGAAGAACCUUACCAGGCCUUGACAUCCCUUGCAGAGGUAUAGAGAUAUAUCCGAGGUUAUCAAGGAGACAGGUGGUGCAUGGUUGUCGUCAGCUCGUGCCGUGAGGUGUCGGCUUAAGUGCCAUAACGAGCGCAACCCUUAUCGAUAGUUACCAUCAGGUUAUGCUGGGGACUCUGUCGAGACUGCCGUCGUAAGAUGUGAGGAAGGUGGGGAUGACGUCAAAUCAGCACGGCCCUUACGUCCGGGGCUACACACGUGUUACAAUGGGGGGUACAGAAGGCAGCUACACGGCGACGUGAUGCUAAUCCCGAAAGCCUCUCUCAGUUCGGAUUGGAGUCUGCAACCCGACUCCAUGAAGCUGGAUUCGCUAGUAAUCGCGCAUCAGCCACGGCGCGGUGAAUACGUUCCCGGGCCUUGUACACACCGCCCGUCAAGCCAUGAAAGCCGGGGGUACCUGAAGUGCGUAACCGCAAGGAGCGCCCUAGGGUAAAACUGGUGAUUGGGGCU